rnacentral:snRNA from 8 species
CCAAAUGUGGAAAUCUCGAUUGCAUAAUUUCUGGUAGUGGAGGACUGCGUUCGCGCUCUCCACUG